UGACAGUACUUGCUGUUUACUCCACUCUCAGUCUGUCUUCACAGUGUAGAAGGGUUUGUCUGUGGCUUCAUUAAUAGUUCACUGCAUGUGCGAUUACAGCACUUCAUCCAACACGUGUCACUGUCAAAGUUCCCGAAGGAGACCUGAGGAUGAGCCUACACUUGUGGUAUAUGUUGGUCCUGUUUCUCUGUCCGAGCACGAAAGAGAUGGUUGUCGACAAAACCAGACCAACAAGAUGGCAUUCUUACCAGAUGGAAAAAGGACGAAACCUCAAAAGGCAUUCAGAAGGGACGUUCAGCAGCGACUUCACCCACUAUCUUGAUAAGAUUAAGGCAAACGAUUUUAUUGAGUGGCUGGCGAGCAGAAAACGAGAAGGGUGUCAAGAAGAACUGCUCUGCCUUGCAGCAGAAGUUUGAAACAUGUGUUGAAUGCUUGAUCCUGCUUUACGUCAUCCAGCAGCAAAAGAGAAGAUGAAUCCUCCGUAACAUAGCAAUUCUUCAGUUUUUAUUCCAUCUAUUCUUAAAUAAAAAUGACAUUUCACUCUUUGCUGUUCCCAAAUAAGCAAUAAAGUGAAGAAAAGUGAUCAAGAUGUAAACAAAUUUUAAAUCUAAUCUUGCAUGUUAUUUAGAAAUGCCCAUCUACGGAAAAAUGCAGUUCAGAUACCGACACCUGGUUUUAUUUAUUUGUUUGCCUUAUAUUUAGAUUUUAUAUGCAGUAUGAACAAACUAAAAUGCAAGAUGAAAAAAAAUGUACUUAAAAUUAUAUAAAUGUCUUUUUUAUGA